rnacentral:lncRNA from 1 species
UCCAGAUCUGCAACACUGAUUUUACUGAGUUUGUGCUCACUUGGUUAUUGUGCCUAAACUGAUUGAAAAUGGAUAAUGAGAAGAUUAUUAAUCUGGGAAAAAGAAACCAUGCUGGAAGUAUGGAAAACAAAUCAGCGUUUCACUAGGAUCGUAUGAAAUAUUUCUCUUGGUAUUAGUCAUUAAUCCAGGAAACCAUCUUCGUGUUUCAGAAGCUCAGUUGGGAGUGAAGUUGAUUGGUGAUGAUGAUGGAAGUUGUGACUGUGCUUUGUGCUUGAACUGGAGACGGCUUCAGGAGGAGAAGAGAGCAAAAUCAAAUCAUUGGUUGUGCAUCAUUGUAAUCUUGGAACUUGGAGAGCCUUCCUAGAAAUUUGAGGGGAGAAAUUUAGCACCAGUUUGCUAAUCUGAGUGGUGGAUAAAUGAACAGGAAUCAGGAGUAUUAAAUAAUAAGGGUCUUGAUUUGAGGGUUUGGCUUUGUUGGUGUUUUUUGGGGGGGAUUUUGGAUGUGCGUGUGUGAUAACAAUAUUUUUUUUCAUGUUGCUAUAUAGAAUUUAGAUUCCCUAUAAAUGAAAGGCAAAGAUACCACUUCAAAUAUCAUAUAAAUAGGAAAUUCUUUUAUUUAGAACUUAGACAUAAUGGGCCUUCUGGAACAAUAUUUCAAAUCACUGUAAUGGAAAUCUAUCCCUUUGGAGUUGGUAAUAGCUUCACAGCUGGAGAAGGACAUCAGGAAAGGGAAAGAACUCAGCACAGUACUUUCCUUGGAGUGAAACAGAUGGAAAAUUCAUUUGACUGAAUAUGUGAACUUGCAAGACAGUAGAUGAGACUUGACAGCUUCCACAUGCAGACAUAUAGAAGAAAAAGCAUGAGCUACUCUAUUUUGAAAUAAGAAACAUAGUCUUUUGGCCAUGAUAGUGUUGAAGAGUAGUUAAUUUGAGAGAAAUUUUUUUAAAACAUUUUUCUUGUUAAUGUUAAGGAAUUUUCAAAACUUUUUUUUAGAGUAAGGACCAUUUAUCAUGAGCAAAAGGAUAAUUUGUUCAUCAGUUAAAAUACUCAUUAUGAGCUUUAGACAUAAAUUUACUUAAUGGAGGAAACAUAACCCUUUACUUGAC